rnacentral:rRNA from 1 species
AAUACGAAGGGACCUAGCGUAGUUCGGAAUUACUGGGCUUAAAGAGUUCGUAGGUGGUUGAAAAAGUUGGUGGUGAAAUCCCAGAGCUUAACUCUGGAACUGCCAUCAAAACUUUUCAGCUAGAGUAUGAUAGAGGAAAGCAGAAUUUCUAGUGUAGAGGUGAAAUUCGUAGAUAUUAGAAAGAAUACCAAUUGCGAAGGCAGCUUUCUGGAUCAUUACUGACACUGAGGAACGAAAGCAUGGGUAGCGAAGAGGAUUAGAUACCCUCGUAGCCCAUGCCGUAAACGAUGUGUGUUAGACGUUGGAAAUUUAUUUUCAGUGUCGCAGCGAAAGCGAUAAACACACCGCCUGGGGAGUACGACCGCAAGGUUAAAACUCAAAUGAAUUGACGGGGACCCGCACAAGUAGUGGAGCAUGUGGUUUAAUUCGAAGAUACGCGCAGAACCUUACCAACACUUGACAUGUUCGUCGCGACUUUAAGAGAUUAAAGUUUUCGGUUCGGCCGGACGAAACACAGGUGCUGCAUGGCUGUCGUCAGCUCGUGUCGUGAGAUGUUGGGUUAAGUCCCGCAACGAGCGCAACCCUCACUUUUAGUUGCCAUCAUUAAGUUGGGCACUCUGAAAGAACUGCCAGUGAUAAGCUGGAGGAAGGUGGGGAUGACGUCAAGUCCUCAUGGCCCUUACGUGUUGGGCUACACACGUGCUACAAUGGUAUCUACAACAGGAAGCAAGACUGCGAGGUCUAGCAAAUCCUUAAAAGAUACCUCAGUUCGGAUUGCACUCUGCAACUCGAGUGCAUGAAGCUGGAAUUACUAGUAAUCGUGGAUCAGCGUGCCACGGUGAAUGCGUUCCCGGGUCUUGUACACACCGCCCGUCACACCAUGGGAGUUGGUUCUACCUUAAGGCAAGGUUUCAAACCCUUGACCACGGUAUAGUCAGC